rnacentral:lncRNA from 12 species
AUGAUCACCCAAACCCUGAACAGCAAGGCAGAGACCAGCAGCCACCCUCGCCCUCACUGCUGCCCACACCAGGCCUGGCACCACGGGCAGCAGGGCAGGGAGGGGUGGCCGGUGGCCCGUGGGGCCUCACAUGGGCGGCACCUGCCUGACAGAGACCAGAAGGUCAUCACAACAAAUGUUUUCAGAACAUUUGUAAACUGUUUCAACAUAAGAAAAGGAUUUGGUUUCCCCAACAGGAAUGACACCAAGGAAGAUAUAUCUGUCCACCAGGUUGCCAUGAAGAAUAACCCCAGAAAGUACCUUCGCAGCAUAGAGAUGGAGAGACUGUGGAGUGUGAUGUUGUUGAAGGAAAAAUGGUAGUGAAAUUCAUUAUUAGGAACAAGAAUCAUCCAAAAUACACUCUUGUUUCUACAUAUUUCCUCUAAAUGCUGUAGAACAAAUAGUUCAUCACAGGCAGAUAAAUUCUGUUAAUUAUCAAAGGCAAAUGUGAGUAUUAGAAUCUUCUGAAAGGAUCUGGACAGUAUCACAUUAGAGGAGCUUCAGGGAAGCCAACUGUAGAUUCCAUCACUUCACUGCCUGCUGACCAAGAACCUGGCAUUAGACCCUUUUAAAUUAGCCUACAUACUGAAAGGCUUUGUGCUAGCUUAACUCUGUGGUCAUUGGUAAUAGUUUAUUGCAGAAAAUUAACAUUUAAAACUUACAUAGCUAUAUAUAUAUUUUUUACAUGGCUAAUUCUUAAAGGAAGUUUUCCUAUUUAAGAGUAUAUGAAUUUUUCAUGUUUAACGCAUUUCUGGACAAUCAAAACACUACCUGGUAGCACAUGGAAAAGCCUUCAAAAAAUAAUUUGUCAAAUUAAUGAAUUACAGAGUAUUGGUCAAAUGAUUGCGGGAGGGGAGGAUAAUUAUAGAUCUAUAAUCUGUCAUCCACCAAUCCAAAAGCCAAAAGCCAAAAGCUCUGAAAACUGAUUUUUUUUUAAAAAAAAAUAUAACUUAGUUAGUGGUUAAAUCUAAUUGGAGCUGAACUCAUCUGGCAGCAAAGCCUGAGAUAACCUUGAUGCCGGGCCAUGUAUAGUCUUUAUGGGCCUCACUUUGUGUGAAUGUUCAUGUUUCACUGCAGGUAUAUGAAUGUGUUUGAU